CUUCACACACACACACACACACACACACACACACACACACACACACACACACACACACACACACACACACACACACACACACACACACAGGACCUGGGGAGCAGGACUUUCCCUUCUCCAACCUCUGUCCUCCAGGCCUGGAUUUUUUUUUUUUUUCUUCUGACGCUGAAAUCAAGAGACUUUUGCUUAUUAUGGGACAAUCUUAUGUGAUGUGUUUUCUGUUUGGACACUUCAUUAUUUAACUUAAGACUUUUUUUUUUAUUUGUUGGUCCUUUCUGGAAAUGGAAGGCGCGCUAAACUCCCGACAGUGGGAGGAAAAACAAGAUUAUUGUCACAAGGAUUAUUCGCCCCCCCCCCCCCCUCUCACUCCUGUCCCUCUCCUUGUUAAAGUCUUCGCUUUUUUUGCGGAGAUGGGAACGUGAAUAGAAAAGACAACUUGGUUAGUUACUGUAAAAAGUUUAGUCUUGUCUUGUCAGAAUUGUUGGCACGUGAAGGACUGGACGUUGUUUUAA